CGGAGUGGGAACCAGGGCCGUCGAGUUGGGGGAGCAGCCGGCGCUGGAUCAGACAACUGCCUGGGAGGCGGCAGCAGGCAGACGGGCGGGUACUGGGAACUGAGCGGCAGGCCGUCCCCGCGGGUCUGUGAAGGAGGUCGGUGGCCGUAGCGGGCUCCAGUCAGCUUUAAGAAAAAAAAUAAGAAAUCACUUCUGACUGUACUGAAUAGCAAAAAUUAAGUGACUGCAAACCAUGGCACUAUCGUUCCGGAAGGACUUAGAAAAGUACAAGGACGUUGAUGAAGAUGAACUCCUUGGGAAUCUAUCAGAAACAGAACUGAAACAACUGGAAACUGUGCUGGAUGAUCUUGACCCUGAGAAUGCCCUUCUGCCUGCAGGGUUCCGGCAGAAGAACCAGACAUCAAAGUCUGCCACAGGGCCAUUUGAUAGAGAACACCUCCUUUCAUAUCUGGAGAAGGAAGCUUUGGAGCAUAAGGACAGGGAAGACUAUGUGCCCUACACUGGAGAAAAAAAGGGGAAAAUAUUUAUCCCUAAGCAGAAACCUGUACAGACUUUUACAGAAGAAAAAGUAUCUCUUGAUCCAGAACUAGAAGAAGCUUUGACAGGUGCUUCUGAUACAGAAUUGUGUGAUCUCGCAGCUAUUCUUGGGAUGCACAAUUUGAUAACAAAUACACAGUUCUGCAAUAUAGUGGGAAGUAGUAAUGGAGUCGACCAAGAACAUUUUUCAAAUGUGGUAAAAGGUGAAAAGAUUCUUCCAGUAUUUGAUGAGCCCCCAAAUCCAACCAAUGUUGAAGAGAGUUUACAGAGAAUUAAAGAAAAUGAUGUUCGUCUUGUUGAAGUUAAUUUGAAUAAUAUAAAGAAUAUCCCAAUUCCAACCCUAAAAGAUUUUGCAAAGGCUUUGGAAACCAACACACAUGUGAAAUAUUUCAGUCUUGCAGCCACCCGAAGCAAUGACCCCGUUGCUGUUGCUUUUGCAGAGAUGCUAAGAGUGAACAAAAAUUUGAAGAGCUUAAAUAUGGAGUCCAACUUUAUUACAGGAGCUGGGAUUCUAGCACUGAUUGAUGCUUUGAGAGAUAAUGAAACCCUGGCUGAGCUGAAAAUCGACAAUCAGAGGCAGCAGUUGGGGACGGCUGUAGAAUUGGAAAUGGCCAAGAUGCUUGAGGAAAAUACCAAUAUCCUUAAAUUUGGGUAUCAGUUUACACAGCAGGGACCCCGAACCAGGGCAGCUAAUGCUAUAACAAAAAAUAAUGACUUAGUCUCAACUUUUCAUUGAAAUAAUCCUACCUACUCGCCAUCUCUUCAGCUAAGGAGUAUCACGGCUAUAACAGCAAAGAGGUUAUAUGGUUUCGCAAGAGACGAGUUGAAGGAGACCACCAGUAAGUCUGCCAACAUAUAAUCUUUGGAAGACUUCGAAAGUUUGCCAAGGGCCCGUGUUGUGAUAUCAGAUGUAAAAUUUUCCUCGGGAGAAGGGAAAAGACUGGAAAUUCUUUUUUUUUUUUUUAACUACAUGUAUCUUUUAUCUAGUUUAAGUUGUUACCAGUUUCAAAUUGUAAAUCACUAGUAGGUGGUAUUUUGUAUUCUAAAGCAUUAUUUCUACUUUCUGCUAAAAUCAGUUUUAAUUUAGCUUAAUUAAAUGGUUUAUGAUGAGUCUUGGGUUAAAAAAAUACAAUUAUAAAAAAGUUUAGGAAGUCAUUUAUGUAGAAUAAUAUGAACAUUCUAAGGACCAAUCUUUUUUUAAGUCAAAAAGGGACAUUGCUGAUGUCAGAAUUGUUGCUGCACCUCUUAGGUACAAGGAACUUCAAAGCUUUCCUUAUUCCAUGGCAAGGAGACUUUUCCAAGUUUCAGAACACAUGAACUUGGCAAGAGUAUGGUUUUUGCUUCUAUCAAUCAAGAAAGCGAAAUGCCAGCAUUUUAAAACAGAUGACUCAAAACCUGGUCAUCUGUUUUGGAGUCAAAGCAGAUCUCUAGGAGAGAGAAAGCAGUCUCCUGUGCAUUCCACAGCACUGCACCUGUCCAAGGUGUCUCAGCAACACCUACAGUUUUUUUCAACAAAGUCAUCAGCUUGGCCAGGUUACACACUUUGUUUAAAAGUAUAGUUAGGUCUAAAUUAAUUACCGUUUUUCAUUGUAAUAAUGUGGGCAUUAUUAAAUUUUUGUGAAGGCUCAUACUAGAAAAAAAACAUCUGAGUAGGAAAGCUAUUUUUUCUUCCCUGUAAAAGGCAUACAGCCAACUCUCAGUUAUUUAGGGUAAAAGAAAAAAGAAAGCUGUUGUUAAACAUAUGAAAUCAAAGUUAAUAAAUGGUGGAGAUUAAGUCUGAGGAGCAUGCAAAAUGGUCCUUUAAAUUGGUGGUUACUGAUGGUAAAUUAGAAACUGGCCUGGGUAUAAAUUAAGAGCUGCACAGGAUAGUGAGACGUUCCUAUAUGCAACACAGAAUUGUCUGAAUGGUAUAUAAUCACCACUCACUACAGAUUUUCCCAACCAAUAAGGAAAAUGGCUGUUCUUGAUAAAUCUAACGUUUGUUAUCUGUUUCCUUUCAUCUUGUACUUUUUGGUCUACAUUGUAUAAAAGCAAUUUCUCAUAACACAAGCUGUCUUCCUAUCAUUCAGAGUAUUAAGGUGAACAGUUAAAUGGUGGUUCUGUGGUGGGAAGACUAUUCCAGAUCCAAUAGUAUGAUAGACAGUUUGGGCCUGCAUUCAUGUCCUAUUUCAGGGCAGCCCCAGAGCAGGAGAUGGCAGAGGCGUUACAGCUGCAGGCAACAGGGGCAAAGGAGUCUGAGCAGUCCUGGCCUCGACAGUUCAGGCCUGGGUGUAUCACUUACAGGGAGAUUUUUCUAAAGGAAGAAUCUCCUUCCAGAAUAGGGGAGAGGUCUGUUGUUAAUAAUUUUUUUUAAACUUCUUGAAAUUGAAUUAUAAAAUGUCUGCUCCUCUGUCUUGGGUUGGACAGUUUAUCUAAUGAGCUAGGCAGCUCCUUUCAUGCUACAGUAAUAAGCCUUCUUAACAGGCAAAAGCUUUCCUCAUGAGGACUGAGUGUGUGUUUUUUGGGAAUCAGUAUCCAUUGUUUGAAAGGGGCCAAAGAUUGACUUUGCACUGUACUGCUAUUCCCUUUCAGUUAUAGGGUGCUGGAGGUUUUUCCAAGUUAGCAAGUCAAGCUCACCCUCGCUCGCUCUCUCCCUCUCUC